AAAACAUGGUUUUUUGUUUAUAUAAAAAAUCUGGCCUGCUCAGUGAAUUUUUAAAUAGCUGCAGUAUUUUGACUGUACAAAGGUAGCAUAAUCAUUUGUCUUUUAAUUGAGGUCUGGAAUGAAUGGUUUGAUGAAGGAGAUACUUUAUUUAUUUUUAAUAAAAAAUUUAAUUUUUAAGUUAAAAAGCUUUGAAAUAUUUUUAUAGGACGAGAAGACCCUAUAGAACUUUAUUUACUUAUUUUUAUAUUUUUUAUAGAUUAUGGAAUUUUUGUAAAAAUAUGUAAAUUUUGUUGGGGUGAUAGAAAAAAUAUCAUAACUUUUUUUGAUUUUUACAUUAAUUGAUGUAUAUUUGAUCCUUUUUUUGGAAAAAAGAAAAAGUUACCUUAGGGAUAACAGCGUUAUUAUUUCGGAGAGUUCAUAUUGAUGAAAUAGUUUGCGACCUCGAUGUUGGAUUAAAAUAAGAUAUGGAAGUAGAAUGUUAUAUUCUGGGUCUGUUCGACCUUUAAAUUUUUACAUGAUCU
rnacentral:rRNA from 1 species